rnacentral:lncRNA from 1 species
CCUCCAAGGUUUUCGGAGAACUGCUGAGAAUGCACAGUUAAAUUGACAACUGAAGGCGGAGUCGGGACUAAAGUGUGAAGUAGGGAGGAUGUUCUCAGGAGCACUUCCACCAGAGCCCAGUCAUCGACUACCCUGGCAGCCGAAGAGAGAAGAGCUCUGACAUUUAUUUGGUCUCUAAUACCAGAAAGAAAAACUAGUUUAUUACGGAAAGCAAAACUUCCCAGCACGUCCUUCUUCAAAGAAUUUUUCAAGGGGAAAUUUUAAAGUGCUUUAAAGAAUUGUAAAACAUGAAAGUAAUUCACUAAAAGCAUUUUUCCAUAGAACACACAGAUGAUUGACUAUGCUUCUUGCUUAGUCUCCUCAGCCGAGUCAGCCAGUUUUUUCUUUGUAGUAAAGGAUAGCCUGAAACUCACUGUAAUGCAGUGGCGUUGGGACUCAACAAGUGGAACUCUUUGUCCAUUAAAAAUACUCCCUUAUUGUGGUUGGGGAUUUAGCUCAGUGGUAGAGCUCUUGUCUAGCAAACGCAAGGCCCUGGGUUUGGUCCCCAGCUCCG